UACGAACGGUGCGAACGUUAUUCGGAAUCACUGGGCUUAAAGGGCGCGUAGGCGGGUGGCCAAGUCAGGUGUGAAAUCUUUGGGCCUAACCGUAAAAGUGCCCCUGAGACUGUACAUCUCGAGGGAGGUAGGGGCGUGUGGAACUGCCGGUGGAGCGGUGAAAUGCGUAGAUAUCGGAAGGAACGCCGGUGGCGAAAGCGACGCGCUGGACCGCUGCUGACGAUGAGGCGCGAAAGCCAGGGGAGCAAACGGG
rnacentral:rRNA from 1 species